UCCGAUUUGAAUAUCGGCAGUCUCGUCAGAGUGCCCAACUUAAUGGUGGCAACUGACAACAUGGGUUGCGCUCGUUGCGGGACUUAACCCAACAUCUCACGACACGAGCUGACGACAGCCAUGCACCACCUGUGAUCCUGCCCGUGAGGGAAGCCGUGUUCCCACGGCGGUCAGGAACAUGUCAAACCCAGGUAAGGUUCUUCGCGUUGCAUCAAAUUAAUCCGCAUGCUCCGCCGCUUGUGCGGGCCCCCGUCGAUUCCUUUGAGUUUUAGCCUUGCGGCCGUACUCCCCAGGCGGGGCGCUUAAUGCGUUAGCUGCGGCACGGAGGACGUGGAAUGUCCCCCACACCUAGCGCCCAACGUUUACGGCAUGGACUAC
rnacentral:misc_RNA from 1 species